AGGUAGCCAAUGAACAGCCAGAGCUGAAGAGGCACCAUGAAGCUGAAAGGUCACCUUGGGUUCCUUUGAAGGGAAGGAUACAGAGUCCAGCCAGUGCUCAUUCCUGUUGGUGGUCUUCUUCCAGAAGCCUAAAGUAGUGGUUCUCAAACUUGAGCACUGGCUUUGAGAGCUUCUCAAGGUACAGAUUGCCAGCCCACACCUCAGGAAUCUCUGAUCCAGCAGUUCUGGAGAAGGUCCUGAUCAUUUACAUUGCUUACAAGUUUCCAGAUGAUGCUGAUGCUGCUGGUCCAGGGACCAGAAUUUGAGAAGCACUGACCAAGAGGAUGAAUGAUGGAGUACGCUUUGCAGCAGAGACCAACAGCAGCCACCCGGACUCAGUUGACUUUCUGCUUACUCUGGCUUAUUUAUUCUCCAUAUGCUCCCCAUCAUCACUGAAGUAUCCUGGAUCAUUCAUUUAUGGAGGGAACCACAUUUUUACCUUAUAGGCUAGAGCUCUCUGUGGGAGAGCGGUGGGGUUUUAUAAUUUAUCAACUAUGAGGAGCUCACUAUUUCAUACCCAUGGCUGUUUAGAAUGCUUAAGAGAACACAGAAGCUCCCUGAGGCCCUAUUCUAAGCACUUUACAUGUGUUAAUUCAUGGAAUCCUCUCAAUAUACUAUAAUUAACCCCACCUGAAAAAUGAGAAAACUAAAGCACAGAGAAGUUAAAUAAUUAUGUGUCCGAGGUCCUAUACCUGGUGAGUACCAGAUCCGGAAUCUGAACACAGGCAGUUUGGCUCCCGAAUCUACAUUCUCACCAGCUACUCUCAGCAACGGUCUUUGAAAUUCUCAUCAAGAGGUAGCAUUCUCUUAAUGUGUACUGGAUUCUCUCUGCUAACACUUUAUUUAAGUGGGUUUUUUGGCCUUGAUAUUAAUAGAUAACUUUGGACUAUAGUUUUUCUGUGUGUAUAUUAUCAUUGUCGAUUUUUGGAAUUGAUAUCUUGUUAGCUUCAAAAACUAAUUUGAAAGUUUUUCUUCUUUUACUGUGGCCUGGAACAGUUUAAGUAGUCCUGGAAUGAUCUUUUCUUUAAAACAUUCUUUGCACCUGUGAAGUGUCUGAUUCUAGUGCUUUUGAGCGAGUUGGAUUUUUGAUAAUGUACGCUAUUUUUUUCCUCUAAUCAUUGGUUAUUUAGAUUUUCUGUAACUUCUAUGAUUGGUUUUUGUAGUUUAUGUUUUUCUAGAAAGCUAUCCAUUUCAUUCAGGUUUUCAACUUUAUUUCAGUAGAGCUGAGCAAAGAAAUAUCUCAAAAUUAUUUUGUUUUGUAUACAUACAAAACAGUUCCCAAUGUACUAUUUUGAUUUUGUAUUAGCCUAUGUUCAUAUUCUUUUCUUAAUUAUUUUAGCCAGCAGUUUUUCUGUUUUGUUCUGUUUUCAGAGAAGUAGCUCAUGGAUUUAUUUGUUGGUUUUCUAUUUUAUUUUAACAUUUUACUCUAUUUGUGGUUACUUCCCUUACCCAUUUCUAAUUUUGUAUAUGCUGUUUCAUCUUUUUAUUUGACUAGGUUGGCUAAUGGUUUGUUAUCUAUUUUAUUGUGUUUUUUUUUUGUUUAUUUAUCCCAAGUACCAUCUUUUGGAUCCAUUUUUAGUUCCAUUUAAAAAACUAAUUCCUUUUGCCAUAUUUAGUUAUAUUUAUUAUUAUUUUUAUAACUUGCCAGAAUGACUGUUCCUAUUAAUUAUUUUCAUUCUUUUAUGUUUCACAACACUAGUUAGUAGAACUAUGUGGUGAGAGGCAAUAUCCCAAAGAUUGUGAUACAUGAUUCUUG
rnacentral:lncRNA from 1 species